rnacentral:rRNA from 1 species
UACGUAGGGGGCAAGCGUUGUCCGGAAUUACUGGGCGUAAAGCGUGCGUAGGCGGCUUGUUAAGUCUGGGGUGAAAGGUCACGGCUCAACCGUGAGAAUGCCCUGGAAACUGAUAGGCUUGAGUACUGGAGAGGCAAGGGGAAUUCCACGUGUAGCGGUGAAAUGCCUAGAUAUGUGGAGGAAUACCAGUGGCGAAGGCGCCUUGCUGGACAGUGACUGACGCUGAGGCACGAAAGCGUGGGGAGCAAACAGG